UCAGGACUUGGGCAGUGUGAGUGCCACUGAAAAUCAGCUCACGUGCUGCCUUCGGCACACGUGCCAUAGGUUGCCUACCCCUGGCCUAUAGCCUGGUAGUUAGGACACCCACCUGGAAUGCGGGUGAGGGAAGGGGAGACCUGGAUUCUAAUCUCUGCUCCAGGCCAGAGCAGAGAUUUGAACCUGAGUCUUCCUUCUUCCAGAUGGGUGCCCUAACCACUGGGCUAAAGGCUAUCCAAGGAACUUCACCUACACAGCUAUGUGUUUUGUGAAGGAUACCAAGGUCCCCUUGUGAAUUUAGUUUUUUUUUAAAAUGGCAAAAACUAUUGAGCAAAUUCAUGAAUAGUUUCAGGCUGACUGAAACUGCAUUUUUCAUGGAAUAAACUAUUUGAAAAAUUUUGCUGAGCCCCAUGUGGGAUGCUUUCCAAAAAAAAAAAUCCUUCAAAGACUGAACUCUGGCCUGUUUUUCAGCGAAGAGUUACACUAAGGUGCAGGAAAGGGGAGUGUACCAGUAGCAGUUAUAUGUUAAUUUAGCCCAUCCCAUUAUACAAAUUGAUUCCUGCAAAUGUUGGAUUUCAGCAUAGAAAAAUGUUUCUACAAACAGUUUCAACUCUGUCCUCACAACUAUAUACUAUUCUCCCCAGAUAAAACCAAUAUAUCCUUGAUCUCUUUUGCAUCUCAUCUGAUCCUAUCUAUGAGAUGCUCCUCCUUUAAAAAAUAAAAAGGAAAAGAAAGGAAAUUCCCAGGUGGAAAACUUAUCGUCAUUAACUUCUCAAAGAAUAAUGAUCAGUUAAAGUAAGGUGGAUAGAGAUCUGAAUAUCUUACAAUUCAUGUAGAUUGUUAUGGAUUCCCAUACCUGCUGCAGUCUCAGACUGUAUUAACUUUUCUACAGAUUCUGCAUGAGGUUGGUGGAGGAACAAUGUAUAUCUUACAUUGCCUCUCUGCCUUCCGAAUCCUGCAGAGAACUUCCAUGUACCAGAGAUUAAGAAUAUGUGCCAUGGAGCAGGGCUGACCCCUUACUUUUGCACAGGAACAGAGAGAUCUUGUGCACAGAAAAGACCUUCCAUAUGGCAAUUUGUGGGGGAUGGAGAAGAAUAGCAACAAUCUGGCUCUAGAAUUUUAAGACAAAGCUGUUCUUAAUUAUCAUUGUAACCAUUAUGAUUUAUCUGCAUUUGCAAAGCAUCACACAUCAUAAAAGGAGCUGGGUACAAUUUUUUAAAACAGUAGCACACUGCCAGAAAAUGACAAAAAAAAGGACAAUCUUCAUAUAUCCUGGACCACCACCAUAAUUUAAAGGAACUCAGAAACGCUAUUUCCCCAUGAAUACAUCCUUGGUCCUAAUGAUAUUUCUGUAAACAUUUUAAGUAAAACAUGUUUUCCAUUCCAAAUGUGUUCUGUAAUUUGAUGCCUUCAAAGAAAGGAUGUAUGAGUCAUCUUCAUGAAACAUGCAAUUGAGGCGAGUCACUGUGUAGCCAACUAAAAUAUCUAAGUAAUAUUAACAGUGUUAUGUUACUUAUGUAGUUGCCCAAGGUUUUAAGAACCAAAUCUGUUCUUUUUACUACAGUAAGAAUUACUGUUGUGUUUUUUUUAUGUGGAAAGUGAGGCUAACAUAACUACAGAAUUAAGAUCAAAAUUUAGUUUGAAAGACAAGUUACUGCAGAGGUAUUCUCAUUAGAAAACCAAUGAGACAUUAGGCAUUGACCUGUGACCCACCAUAUCCAAUAUUACUUUUGUUUCUUGUUCAGUACUUGAUGUUUUAAUAUCUGUUUCCUGGCUUAAUUCGAGCAUGGGCUGUCAGAUUGGAUGGAGAAUUCAGUGUGUUUUUGGGUGGUUAGGAUUAGUAAAAUUUCAGAUUUUGCCUGGAAUGCUCCAUUAUUUCUAACUAUUCCCCUUUUUCUGUUAUGAGAGUGAAAUUUACUUCUUCCUGUACCAGACAGAAUAAAUGGGGUGAUGUGCUGAAGGUUGGAGAGGAUGAAAUUCACACUUCAAAACCUAUGGGCAAGCUGAAUCUCCUGCUGCAUCUAUGACUGCCAAGCACUGGACACCAUUGUGAGGCACUGGACUAGCGGCUGACUGCUUCCUGACUAAGUGUGUGCAUGUCCCGAGCACAGUGGCCAGAAAUUUCUCCCUCAGUGGUACCCGUCAGGGCGGCUCCGGCGCCCUCUGGUGCCAUGCGCUCAUAGCGCUGGUAUGAAGGACUCAGCUGGCGACACCCACCCCAGUUGCUUCUUUACAGCCAAUUCCGAUGUUGAGGCGUAGCAGGGCGGCUCGUGGAAUGGAUAUUUGCAACACAUCUCAAAGAACAACUGUUGUGGAGAGGUGUAAUAAGUACUCAAGAAUGACCUGCAGCAACAACCGCUUGGGCAAGACUCCACAUUGGGAAGCCCAGAUGGAGCACCGCUUCCAUUCUGAGAGAUCUACCUGGGGAGCCCUCCACUGCUGGAAAACGACCCUAAUGAUGUCCGGACGAAGGGACCACUCAUGGUGACUGCAGAAAGACCUAAUGAGGAGAUCUGCCAGUUCGUUCUGUGCUCCAUGCAGGUGGAAAGCCUCGAGAUUCUGCGGAAUCUCUUUCACAGUUCCCACCCGAAGGAAAGAUUGAACCUUCUGGGCCAGUAGUUGCUCGUGAGAGAGAUCUCUGAAGAGGGACAGGGAAGGAGUGUGUUAAGAAAAGGUCUUGACAGGCCAGUGGGGUGGAGUGCCCGGAGGACUGGUGAGAUCUGUAGUGCUUCCUUAAAGUCACUGAAGUAUACAGUCCCAGGGACUUAAAGGUCGCCCAGGAGUCCUUCAGUCCACGAAGUUUCAUGUCAGUCUGCUCCAAAAAGAGCAAAGCUCCCUCACACAGGGAAGAUCCUGGAGAGUUUGCUGGACCUCCUGCAGGAGGCCAGAGGACUGUAGCCAUGAACUCCUACACGUGGCUGCUGCGGAAGCCAUGGACCUCGCCGCCGAAUCCGCUGCAUUCAAGGCAGCUUGCAAAGAAAGCUCUGGCUAUGGAUUUCCCCUCAUCCACCAGCAAGGAAAACUACAGCCUGGCUUCUUGAGGCAGCAAGUUUUUGAACUUCAACAUGGAGUCCCAUAUGUUGAAGUCAUAUUUGCUCAGCAACACCUGCUGGUUAGCGAUCCUGAGCUGCAAACCCCUGGUAGAGUAGACCUUUCUACCAAAUAAAUCCAAGUUUUUGAU